CAGACCUCAGUAUAACGAACACAGAUAUAACGAAGUAAAUACAAAUUUUCUUGCUAAGAUCAGUGUGUUGCAAAUAUAUAUGCUUAUAACGCAUAUCGGAUAUAACGAAGGUAUUUUCAUGUCAGAUCUGACUUCGUUAUAACGAGGUUUAACUCUGCUCGUGCCGCAGUG
rnacentral:lncRNA from 1 species